UCAAGCCUUUCGGGUCAAGCUUUUUCAAGCUUUCUAUUAGAAGUGUGCAGGGGCGGACCCACGUGUAAGUCAGGGGUUCAGAUGAACCCCCUGAAAAAACAAAAAAUUAUACUUACCCCCUUGCAUUGUUAUUUUUUUGAACCCCUGAAAAUUUCAAUUUGCACCCAGACCCCCAUUUUCUCCUCUCUCUCUCACACACUCACAGUCAGACUCACCCUCCAGGAACGCUCACCACACCCUCACCCUCUCACUCUCACUAGGUCUGGCCAUCAUCAAGAUUGAAGCACACACGCACGACACGACGCACCGCCACCGGCCAUCACCACGCAACGCCACUACCGUCCACCAAUCCAGCCGCCCCUCUGCAGCUCUAACCCUAGGUAUGGCUGAUUUGAGAUUUCCCUAUAUUGAUUUCGUUUCUCUUCUCCUUUCUCAAGCUUGAUUUUCCCAAGCAACCAUGAAUACGAUUGAUUGAUAAUUUAAUUUUUGGGUAAGGUAAGGUGUCUAUUGAUUGAUUGGGAGAAAACUCUUAGAUUGGGGAAAAACUCAAACCAGAGUUGUGGAUUUAGCCCAAUUGUGAGAUUGGAUGAAUUUUGCUGCUCUAUGUAUGAUUGGAUGGCCAAUCCAAGAUGGAGUAGUUUUGCUCGGUCUUCCCUUUUUAUAUGCUCCUAGCACACACAUCACCACGACGACACUGAUUUACGCACAUUGUUUAGGUUCUAUUUUCGGACUCAUAUUUAUCCUAAGAUUAGGAAGUAGGUCUAUCCAUCCAAACCAUCCGAGGCCCGAUCUGGAACCACACUAUCUGAGCCUUUUCUAUGUUCUUGGGUCGUCGGUUCGGCCUUCAUGUCAACUUUUAGAAAAAACAGUUUCAUAUGGCUUCAGACAAUUGGGCUCAGAUGGGAAAAGAAACACACGUCGAAACUGGCCUAACCGAAACACUGCUUUAUAAAAACAAAAGUUCAAAAAUGCGACCCAACACUCAGCCCAUUAUGAGUGUCUAAAAUCAAGUGGAAAAAACCCGAGUCAUUUCAAGGCUUCAUGCCUUGUUGCGCCGCACAUACCACCACACAGACAACACAACUUCUCUCACUUCAUUCCUUGUUGCCAAACCCUAGCCGCCACCACCAGAACUUCUCUUUUCCCCUUCAUGCCUUCCCCUCCACCACCAGUUCUGCUUUCAGCGGAAAAUAAACUCUAGUUAACACUGAAACUCUUUUAAUACCAUCUUAUGCUGGUAGAAUUUUUUUUUGAAAUAAGGUGGAAGAAAAUACGUUGUACGUAGCUGUAGCUCUUAAAAUCGUUGCAUAUGAAAAACAAUUUCUUUAAGCACAUUUGUCUCAUUAAUUUAAAUUAUCACUUGGAAUAAAGCAAGCUAGGCUUUGAUCGAUGGAGCCAGUCCAUAGUCCAUUAUAAUUAUCGUGGAGUUAGCUGAAUUCCCAGUAUUGCAUCACAUAUUGUACUAUUUUAUUACAAAGAAAUUACAUUCCUUUU